rnacentral:rRNA from 1 species
UACGGGGGGGGUAAGCGUUGUUCGGAAUUACUGGGCGUAAAGCGUGUGUAGGCGGUCCACUAAGUCGGGUGUGAAAGCCCUGGGCUCAACCCAGGAAGUGCACUCGAAACUGGCGGGCUAGAGUAUCGGAGAGGUUGGUGGAAUUCUCGGUGUAGAGGUGAAAUUCGUAGAUAUCGAGAGGAACACCGGUGGCGAAGGCGGCCAACUGGACGAAUACUGACGCUGAGGCGCGAAAGCUAGGGUAGCAAACGGG